GACAGAGGUCCCGAGCGUUAGGCGGAAUCACUGGGCUUAAAGCGUGUGUAGGCGGAGUUCUAAGUACCUUGUGAAAUCCCACGGCUCAACCGUGGAACUGCUUGGUAUACUGGUUCUCUUGAGCCACCUAGGGGCAACCGGAACAAACGGCGGAGCGGUGAAAUGCGUAGAUAUCGUUUGGAACGCCAAUGGUGAAAACAGGUUGCUGGGGGUGUGCUGACGCUGAGACACGAAAGCCAGGGGAGCAAACGGG
rnacentral:rRNA from 1 species